rnacentral:rRNA from 1 species
UUAAGUUAUUAAGGGCGCACGGUGGAUGCCUUGGCACUAGAAGCCGAUGAAGGACGUUACUAACGACGAUAUGCUUUGGGGAGCUGUAAGUAAGCUUUGAUCCAGAGAUUUCCGAAUGGGGAAACCCAGCAUGAGUUAUGUCAUGUUAUCGAUAUGUGAAUACAUAGCAUAUCAGAAGGCACACCCGGAGAACUGAAACAUCUUAGUACCCGGAGGAAGAGAAAGAAAAUUCGAUUCCCUUAGUAGCGGCGAGCGAAACGGGAAGAGCCCAAACCAAAAAGCUUGCUUGUUGGGGUCGUAGGACACUCUAUACGGAGUUACAAAGGACGACAUUAGACGAAUCAUCUGGAAAGAUGAAUCAAAGAAGGUAAUAAUCCUGUAGUCGAAAAUGUUGUCUCUCUUGAGUGGAUCCUGAGUACGACGGAGCACGUGAAAUUCCGUCGGAAUCUGGGAGGACCAUCUCCUAAGGCUAAAUACUCUCUAGUGACCGAUAGUGAACCAGUACCGUGAGGGAAAGGUGAAAAGCACCCCGGAAGGAGAGUGAAAUAGAACCUGAAACCGUGUGCUUACAAGUAGUCAGAGCCCGUUAAUGGGUGAUGGCGUGCCUUUUGUAGAAUGAACCGGCGAGUUACGAUUUGAUGCAAGGUUAAGCAGUAAAUGUGGAGCCGUAGCGAAAGCGAGUCUGAAUAGGGCGUUUAGUAUUUGGUCGUAGACCCGAAACCAGGUGAUCUACCCUUGGUCAGGUUGAAGUUCAGGUAACACUGAAUGGAGGACCGAACCGACUUACGUUGAAAAGUGAGCGGAUGAACUGAGGGUAGCGGAGAAAUUCCAAUCGAACCUGGAGAUAGCUGGUUCUCUCCGAAAUAGCUUUAGGGCUAGCCUCAAGUGAUGAUUAUUGGAGGUAGAGCACUGUUUGGACGAGGGCCCCUCUCGGGUUACCGAAUUCAGACAAACUCCGAAUGCCAAUUAAUUUAACUUGGGAGUCAGAACAUGGGUGAUAAGGUCCGUGUUCGAAAGGGAAACAGCCCAGACCACCAGCUAAGGUCCCAAAAUAUAUGUUAAGUGGAAAAGGAUGUGGCGUUGCCCAGACAACUAGGAUGUUGGCUUAGAAGCAGCCAUCAUUUAAAGAGUGCGUAAUAGCUCACUAGUCGAGUGACACUGCGCCGAAAAUGUACCGGGGCUAAACAUAUUACCGAAGCUGUGGAUUGUCCUUUGGACAAUGGUAGGAGAGCGUUCUAAGGGCGUUGAAGCAUGAUCGUAAGGACAUGUGGAGCGCUUAGAAGUGAGAAUGCCGGUGUGAGUAGCGAAAGACGGGUGAGAAUCCCGUCCACCGAUUGACUAAGGUUUCCAGAGGAAGGCUCGUCCGCUCUGGGUUAGUCGGGUCCUAAGCUGAGGCCGACAGGCGUAGGCGAUGGAUAACAGGUUGAUAUUCCUGUACCACCUAUAAUCGUUUUAAUCGAUGGGGGACGCAGUAGGAUAGGCGAAGCGUGCGAUUGGAUUGCACGUCUAAGCAGUAAGGCUGAGUAUUAGGCAAAUCCGGUACUCGUUAAGGCUGAGCUGUGAUGGGGAGAAGACAUUGAGUCUUCGAGUCGUUGAUUUCACACUGCCGAGAAAAGCCUCUAGAUAGAAAAUAGGUGCCCGUACCGCAAACCGACACAGGUAGUCAAGAUGAGAAUUCUAAGGUGAGCGAGCGAACUCUCGUUAAGGAACUCGGCAAAAUGACCCCGUAACUUCGGGAGAAGGGGUGCUCUUUAGGGUUAACGCCCAGAAGAGCCGCAGUGAAUAGGCCCAAGCGACUGUUUAUCAAAAACACAGGUCUCUGCUAAACCGUAAGGUGAUGUAUAGGGGCUGACGCCUGCCCGGUGCUGGAAGGUUAAGAGGAGUGGUUAGCUUCUGCGAAGCUACGAAUCGAAGCCCCAGUAAACGGCGGCCGUAACUAUAACGGUCCUAAGGUAGCGAAAUUCCUUGUCGGGUAAGUUCCGACCCGCACGAAAGGCGUAACGAUUUGGGCACUGUCUCAACGAGAGACUCGGUGAAAUCAUAGUACCUGUGAAGAUGCAGGUUACCCGCGACAGGACGGAAAGACCCCGUGGAGCUUUACUGUAGCCUGAUAUUGAAAUUCGGCACAGCUUGUACAGGAUAGGUAGGAGCCUUUGAAACGUGAGCGCUAGCUUACGUGGAGGCGCUGGUGGGAUACUACCCUAGCUGUGUUGGCUUUCUAACCCGCACCACUUAUCGUGGUGGGAGACAGUGUCAAGCGGGCAGUUUGACUGGGGCGGUCGCCUCCUAAAAGGUAACGGAGGCGCUCAAAGGUUCCCUCAGAAUGGUUGGAAAUCAUUCAUAGAGUGUAAAGGCAUAAGGGAGCUUGACUGCGAGACCUACAAGUCGAGCAGGGUCGAAAGACGGACUUAGUGAUCCGGUGGUUCCGCAUGGAAGGGCCAUCGCUCAACGGAUAAAAGCUACCCCGGGGAUAACAGGCUUAUCUCCCCCAAGAGUUCACAUCGACGGGGAGGUUUGGCACCUCGAUGUCGGCUCAUCGCAUCCUGGGGCUGUAGUCGGUCCCAAGGGUUGGGCUGUUCGCCCAUUAAAGCGGUACGCGAGCUGGGUUCAGAACGUCGUGAGACAGUUCGGUCCCUAUCCGUCGUGGGCGUAGGAAAUUUGAGAGGAGCUGUCCUUAGUACGAGAGGACCGGGAUGGACAUACCUCUGGUGUACCAGUUGUCGUGCCAACGGCAUAGCUGGGUAGCUAUGUGUGGACGGGAUAAGUGCUGAAAGCAUCUAAGCAUGAAGCCCCCUCAAGAUGAGAUUUCCCAACUUCGGUUAUAAGAUCCCUCAAAGAUGAUGAGGUUAAUAGGUUCGAGGUGGAAGCAUGGUGACAUGUGGAGCUGACGAAUACUAAUCGAUCGAAGACUUAAUCAA